CUUGGGCCUUCCCAAGGCAGAGCUCUUCACUCCCAGAGCCCAGCUGGAGCUGCCCAAGGACACAGAGAAACUUAAACACAUGGACUUGUGUUAUCACCACACGUCAAAGGAAACCUGAGCUGCACCCCAGCCAUACUGGGGUUGGGGGUGUCUUACUGGAUUUUCUGUUUAUAGUAGCUGAACAUCCUUUGCUGAACAGUAUUUUCAGCAUUAGAGCUUGAAGGACACAUUCUCCCUGAAUUUAAGGUUGCUGGUGGCCAACAAUGAGCAACCAGACCUGGCUUCAGGACACGAACAUGACAGUCUUGGAGGAGGAAAAAGGCCAUUUUCCCAGACAACGAGGCAUUUGGAGGGAGACAACACCCCCCUCUCCCUCCAUGGACUGAAGCCGUGGAGAGCUGUGAUGCUGCUGGGACUUCACCCAGGUUUGCUUUUCAGUCCAACCCCACGAGCUCCUCUGCAGGAAGACCUUGGGCAACCAAAAUGCCUUAUUG